rnacentral:rRNA from 1 species
GACGAACGCUGGCGGCGUGCUUAACACAUGCAAGUCGAACGAAGAGCGAUGGAAGCUUGCUUCUAUCAAUCUUAGUGGCGAACGGGUGAGUAACGCGUAAUCAACCUGCCCUUCAGAGGGGGACAACAGUUGGAAACGACUGCUAAUACCGCAUACGAUCUAACCUCGGCAUCGAGGAAAGAUGAAAGGUGGCCUCUAUUUAUAAGCUAUCACUGAAGGAGGGGAUUGCGUCUGAUUAGCUGGUUGGAGGGGUAACGGCCCACCAAGGCGAUGAUCAGUAGCCGGUCUGAGAGGAUGAACGGCCACAUUGGGACUGAGACACGGCCCAGACUCCUACGGGAGGCAGCAGUGGGGAAUCUUCCGCAAUGGACGAAAGUCUGACGGAGCAACGCCGCGUGAGUGAUGACGGCCUUCGGGUUGUAAAGCUCUGUUAAUCGGGACGAAAGGCCUUCUUGCGAACAGUUAGAA